rnacentral:rRNA from 1 species
GUGAGGAAUAUUGCGCAAUGGAGGCAACUCUGACGCAGCCAUGCCGCGUGCAGGAAGAAGGCGCUACGCGUUGUAAACUGCUUUUAACCGGGAAGAAACCCCAGGACGUGUCCUGGGUUGACGGUACCGGAGGAAUAAGCACCGGCUAACUUCGUGCCAGCAGCCGCGGUAAUACGAAGGGUGCAAGCGUUAUCCGGAUUCAUUGGGUUUAAAGGGUGCGUAGGCGGAGCGUUAAGUCAGUGGUGAAAUCCUGCAGCUUAACUGUAGACUUGCCUUUGAUACUGGCGCUCUUGAGUGCGCUUGAAGUGGGCGGAAUGUGCCGUGUAGCGGUGAAAUGCUUAGAUAUGGCACAGAACACCAAUUGCGAAGGCAGCUCACUAAGGCGAUACUGACGCUGAGGCACGAAAGCGUGGGGAUCGAACAGGAUUAGAUACCCGGGUAGUCC